rnacentral:rRNA from 1 species
GUAGGUGGCAAGCGUUGUCCGGAAUUAUUGGGCGUAAAGCGCGCGCAGGCGGUUCUUUAAGUCUGAUGUGAAAGCCCACGGCUCAACCGUGGAGGGUCAUUGGAAACUGGAGAACUUGAGUACAGAAGAGGAAAGCGGAAUUCCACGUGUAGCGGUGAAAUGCGUAGAGAUGUGGAGGAACACCAGUGGCGAAGGCGGCUUUCUGGUCUGUAACUGACGCUGAGGCGCGAAAGCGUGGGGAGCAAACAGGGAUUAGAUACCCUGGUAGUCCACGCCGUAAACGAUGAGUGCUAAGUGUUAGGGGGGGUUUCCGCCCCCUUAGUGCUGCAGCUAACGCAUUAAGCACUCCGCCUGGGGAUACGGCUGCAAGGCUG